GAUGAAGAACGCAGCAAAAUGCGAUAAGUAAUGUGAAUUGCAGAAUUCAGUGAAUCAUCGAAUCUUUGAACGCACAUUGCGCCCGCCAGUAUUCUGGCGGGCAUGCCUGUUCGAGCGUCAUUUCAACCCUCAAGCACAGCUUGGUGUUGGGACUCGCGUUAAUUCGCGUUCCCCAAAUUGAUUGGCGGUCACGUCGAGCUUCCAUAGCGUAGUAGUAAAACCCUCGUUACUGGUAAUCGUCGCGGCCACGCCGUUAAACCCCAACUUCUGAAUGUUGACCUCGGAUCAGGUAGGAAUACCCGCUGAACUUAAGCAUAUCAAUAAGCGGAGAA
rnacentral:misc_RNA from 1 species